GCGUCAUUGGUCUAGGGGUUAGGAUUCAACUCUUCCAUCUCACCGGUGAAAAGUUGAGGCCCGGAUUCGAGUUCCGGAUGACGCA
rnacentral:tRNA from 2 species